GACGAACGCUGGCGGCGUGCUUAACACAUGCAAGUCGAGCGGUAAGGCCCUUUCGGGGGUACACGAGCGGCGAACGGGUGAGUAACACGUGGGUGACCUGCCCUCAGCUCUGGGAUAAGCCUGGGAAACCGGGUCUAAUACUGGAUAUGACUCCAUGACGCAUGUUGUGGGGUGGAAAGCCUUGUGCGGCUGAGGAUGGGCCCGCGGCCUAUCAGCUUGUUGGUGGGGUGAGGCCUACCAAGGCGACGACGGGUAGCCGGCCUGAGAGGGCGACCGGCCACACUGGGACUGAGACACGGCCCAGACUCCUACGGGAGGCAGCAGUGGGGAAUCUUGCGCAAUGGGCGAAAAGCCUGACGCAGCGACGCCGCGUGAGGGA
rnacentral:rRNA from 1 species